rnacentral:piRNA from 1 species
AUGAAAUGUCUUUUCCCACCAAUUA